rnacentral:rRNA from 1 species
GACGAACGCUGGCGGCGUGCUUAACACAUGCAAGUCGAACGGAAAGGCCCUGCUUUUGUGGGGUGCUCGAGUGGCGAACGGGUGAGUAACACGUGAGUAACCUGCCCUUGACUUUGGGAUAUCUUCAGGAAACUGGGGCUAAUACCGGAUAGGAGCUCCUGCUGCAUGGUGGGGGUUGGAAAGUUUCGGCGGUUGGGGAUGGACUCGCGGCUUAUCAGCUUGUUGGUGGGGUAGUGGCUUACCAAGGCUUUGACGGGUAGCCGGCCUGAGAGGGUGACCGGCCACAUUGGGACUGAGAUACGGCCCAGACUCGUACGGGAGGCAGCAGUGGGGAAUAGUGCACAAUGGGCGGAAGCCUGAUGCAGCAACGCCGCGUGCGGGAUGACGGCCUUCGGGUUGUAAACCGCUUUCGCCUGUGACGAAGCGUGAGUGACGGUAAUGGGUAAAGAAGCACCGGCUAACUACGUG